rnacentral:tRNA from 1 species
ACUCUAAUAGUUUAACAAAAACAUUGGU